rnacentral:rRNA from 1 species
UACGGGGGGGAGCAAGCGUUGUUCGGAUUUACUGGGCGUAAAGCGCCCGUAGGCGGCCUGACAAGUUGGACGUGAAAGCUCCUGGCUUAACUGGGAGAGGCCGUUCAAAACUGUCAAGCUAGAGUCUGGAAGAGGAGAGCGGAAUUCCCGGUGUAGUGGUGGAAUGCGUAGAGAUCGGGAGGAACACCAGUGGCGAAAGCGGCUCUCUGGUCCAAAACUGACGCUGAGGGGCGAAAGCGUGGGGAGCGAACGGG